ACAGUAGCAAUACUGGAGCGGCAAACGGGUGCGUAACACGUGAGCAAUCUGCCCUUAAGACCGGAAUAGCCCAGGGAAACUUGGAUUAAUACCGGAUGUGGAGGAGUCAGGCAUCUGACUUCUUCCAAAGCUUGUAACGGCGCUUAAGGAGGAGCUCGCGGCCUAUCAGCUAGUUGGCGAGGUAACGGCUCACCAAGGCUAAGACGGGUAACUGGUCUGAGAGGAUGAUCAGUCACACUGGAACUGAGACACGGUCCAGACACC
rnacentral:rRNA from 1 species